GCUGUCGGGGCAGUCCUACUGGCUGGACCUGUGGCUCUUCGUCCUCUUCGACCUGGCGCUGCUGGUGUUCGUCUACCUGCUGCCCUGAGGGCGCGGGCGCAGGAGACCGUAGGCCAGUGGAAAAGUAGCGUGUGUUGUUCUUUUUAGAGCGCUCGCCUCCUCACCCGGCUGCUCCAUGUGGGACCAAGGAGGGGAAGAUGAGCACUGCGUGUGCGGCACAAGCACUGCGGACCAGGGCUCAGCUUGCGCCUGAAUUCAGAAGACUGUAUAUACAUAUUUAUACGUGUGCUAAUCACAACAUAACCCUGGGUGUAGCACAAGCAAUAUUGCUUAGGGUUUUAGGGUCAUCCAUAUCCUGUUUAUUCUUUUUUUUUCCCCUUACUCUAAACUGUGCCUUAAGGUACUAUAAGAGAGUUUAACUGUGUUUUUGCAGUUAGUACCCAAAUGUUUAAGUGUAAAUGGAAAUAUGUACUACUUGAAUAAAAUAACAGAAAGGACAGACAGUAGAGGGGCUGAGAGUAAAAAAAGAGCUCUUGUAUAGACUGAAAGUGCAACUUGAACCCUUUUCUCCAUAGGCCAAUUUUUAUUCCUUACUGCUCUACCUUCAAGAAGUUAAUCAUGGGACUUGGAUGCCACCACUAUGGUUUUCUGUUCCACCGUUCUGUCUUUUUAUGGCAGAGUGCAUGAGUGCAGAGCAUUUUGUCAGGUACCUUUUGGAAUAUGUCGUGUUGGAAUACGACAUUCUGUCUUCAUGUUGUCACACCUGUAUGAUCAGAAAUAAAUUCAGGCCUUCUCUAAGGACUGAGAUGCCUUGAUCUGCUAGUGCUUUGGAUCCGAAACACUGAUGAAACCACUGCUGCACAAUCCUAAAUUCAUCAAAUUUUCACAUAUUGCAAUGUUUUUUCAAAUGAAGUAAUUUUUAAAAGUACAAGAUUGCUCAUAUUUCUGACUGCUGUUACUCAUGCAUAGUUCUGUCUUCCCUUGCCCCCAAACAAAAGUUUUCAUAGUGUAAUCUUAAGGGAAUGAGGURUCAGGAAGGCAUUGUAACAUUGCUCCCUUUCUCCUUGUGAAGGUGACAGACACCUCAGAAUGCAUCCUGACUUUUAGCUUUUUUUUUCCCAGAGAAGAUUCUGGCUCAUUCAAGUCAGAUAUGGCAGAAAUUUUAAGGAGCAUCAGGAAAAAUAAAGGUAACAAAAGCAGACAUAGGAUGCAUUGAGCUCAAGCUAUUUCAUAUGCUCUGGAGCACUUGAAACAUGUAUACCCAAGCAAAUUUAACUUACUCCUCUUGAAACAAAACUGGUAAGUCAGAAAGAUAGCCAGGAUAAUGAAUCAAGCAAUGGGGAUAUUAGGGUAGUGCAAUUGCUUUAUGUAUUUCAUGGCUCUUCAGAAAGCUAAAAGUAAUUUUACUAGCGUUAUAAGUAAAUUCUUCAGAAAAUUAAUUUUGCUGUUCAAAUAAGAUAAUUCAGCCUCCAUCUCUUCAAAUAUUCGAUCAUUACUAGCAGUACUAUCUCAGUGUGUCAAAGCAUAAUUCUAGAAAUCCAGAAUUGUUCAGAAAAGAAUGCAAGAGUAACAAAGACAGCACAAGAGAAAGACAUUUUAAAUUUUAUCUGAUAGUUCAAACAAGCAGAACUUUGCAAGAAAAUAAUUCUAAGGACUGAAAAAUAUAUUAAUUACAAGACUUGUUAAAUGUAUUUACUGUUACAAAAAUUAUCUAGGCUCUUAUACAAAUCUAUAGCCAGAAGGGGACACUUAUAAAAAAAUAAAUAGGCACCCUAGUUAAGUCAAAACAGGUUAUCACAUAUUUKUUAGCAAAUAUUACAUACAUACAUGGAGUGCAGAUUCAAAUAUAAAAACAAAGGUGUCUCAAAUAGCUGUCUAU